UACGGAGGGUGCGAGCGUUGUCCGGAAUCACUGGGCGUAAAGGGCGCGUAGGCGGCUCAUGAAGGCUGUGGUGAAAGUCCGGGGCUCAACCUCGGAUCGGCCGUGGCGACUCGUGGGCUGGAGCACUGUAGAGGCGGGUGGAAUUCCGGGUGUAGCGGUGGAAUGCGCAGAUAUCAGGAGGAACACCGAUGGCGAAGGCAGGUCUCUGGGCCAUUACUGACACUGAGAAGCGAAAGCAUGGGGAGCGAACAGG
rnacentral:rRNA from 1 species